rnacentral:rRNA from 1 species
AUACGGAGGGGGCAAGCGUUAUUCGGAUUUACUGGGCGUAAAGCGUGUGUAGGCGGUUGCGUAAGUCUGAUGUGAAAUCUUCACCGCUCAACGGGAAGAGGUCAUUGGAAACUGCGUAACUAGAGUGUGGAAGAGGCAAGCGGAAUUCCUGGUGGAGCGGUGGAAUGUGCAGAUAUCAGGAAGAACACCGGUGGCGAAGGCGGCUUGCUGGGCCAUUACUGACGCUGAGACACGAAAGCGUGGGGAGCGAACGGGAUUAGAUACCCCGGUAGUCCACGCCGUAAACGGUGCGCACUAGGUGUGGAGGGUAUCGACCCCCUCUGUGCCGAAGUUAACACAUUAAGUGCGCCGCCUGGGAAGUACGACCGCAAGGUUGAA